rnacentral:lncRNA from 1 species
CUCUGUCUCUGAGCCCAGCUCAGAACAAGGAGAGCCUUGGACCCAGCUUCAGAGGACCGUGGGGAAGGUCAUAUACUCUAUACCCACUGCCUACUAGUCCCAUGCCACGUCCUUUGUGCAUUUGUCCAGUCCAUAUGACUGAGUUUCUAUCUCAGUUUCCCUGCAAGCCAUUCUUUUUCAUUUUUGCCGUGGAGCUGAUGUGUGUGGGUCUUUCUAAUCUCCUGGGCUUGUGCCAGAGUUUUACUCCAGAGGCUGGACUUGUUCCAAGGAGACUCAGUGGUGGCUGGGGUUCUGCUUGCCACAUAUUAGGGAGCCGGAACCUCCCAGUUGAUGUUGUAAUUGCCUGCUCCAAGGGCUCUUGCGACUGCGCACUCAGUGAAGCAUCGUCCCUGAGCAUGCUUGCCCACAUGCUGAACUGAUCUUCCCUCCUGGAGUAGCACGCCCCUUUGGACUGUGGACCAUUCCCUUCGAUAUUUCCUCUAACCAGGAAGGUUAUUUCCACCCCUACCCGGCUAAGUGGCCUCGCGUCUUCACUUGUCAGCCUGCAGUCUCCUUCAAGAAAGCAAUCAGAGAAGUCGCCUUCCAACUCGAGUCAGAUCAGUUCUCUCUUCUGCUCAAAGUGCUCGGAUGACUUACAGACUGUGAGAACCAGGCGGGCGGACAUUCUUGCUUGAUUUGUUCACUAGACACUUGCACAACUGAGGAUAAACUCUCUCCCCAACCCUGUAAGGAUGGCUGUUAUUAUCUUAUUUUAAAGCCUCAGAAACUCCAGAUCAGACUUCUAGGCACAAAGUCAACAACUGGAGAGUGGCAGAGCUGGAAUUCAAGACCGCAGUGUUUCCUCAGGGAGGAAGAGAGGAAAGAGGAGGAGGUGGGGGAAGCCCCUCCCAGACUCGACCCUCCCAGUUCCACACUCCCCACCAACAACCCCGACCAGCAUGGCCUCUGCCUUCUACCACGACAUCAGAAAAGUGUGGAAGUGACCGGGUGGAGACAUCCUCUG